rnacentral:rRNA from 1 species
GGAAUUUUCCACAAUGGGCGAAAGCCUGAUGGAGCAACGCCGCGUGAACGAUGAAGGCCUUCGGGUUGUAAAGUUCUGUUGUUAGGGACGAACAAGUGCCGUUCGAAUAGGGCGGCACCCUGACGGUACCUAACGAGGAAGCCACGGCUAACUACGUGCCAGCAGCCGCGGUAAUACGUAGGUGGCAAGCGUUGUCCGGAAUUAUUGGGCGUAAAGCGCGCGCAGGCGGUUAUGUAAGUCUGAUGUUAAAGCCCGGGGCUCAACCCCGGUUCGCAUUGGAAACUGCGUAACUUGAGUGCAGAAGAGGAAAGCGGUAUUCCACGUGUAGCGGUGAAAUGCGUAGAGAUGUGGAGGAACACCAGUGGCGAAGGCGGCUUUCUGGUCUGUAACUGACGCUGAGGCGCGAAAGCGUGGGGAGCAAACAGGAUUAGAUACCCUGGUAGUCCACGCCGUAAACGAUGAGUGCUAGGUGUUGGGGGUUUCAAUACCCUCAGUGCCGCAGCUAACGCA